rnacentral:rRNA from 1 species
UGGGGAAUAUUGCACAAUGGAGGGAACUCUGAUGCAGCGACGCCGCGUGAACGAAGAAGGCUUUCGAGUCGUAAAGUUCUUUUAUAUGGGAAGAUAAUGACGGUACCAUAAGAAAAAGCCCCGGCUAACUACGUGCCAGCAGCCGCGGUAAUACGUAGGGGGCUAGCGUUGUCCGGAAUCACUGGGCGUAAAGGGUUCGCAGGCGGAAAUGCAAGUCAGGUGUAAAAGGCAGUAGCUUAACUACUGUAAGCAUUUGAAACUGCAUAUCUUGAGAAGAGUAGAGGUAAGUGGAAUUUUUAGUGUAGCGGUGGAAUGCGCAGAUAUCGGGAAGAACACCGAUGGCGAAGGCAGCCUGCUGGGCCGGCACUGACGCUGAGGCGCGAAAGCUAGGGGAGCGAACAGG